rnacentral:tRNA from 1 species
GCCUCCGUAGCUCAGAGGAAGAGCAACUGACUUUUAAUCAGUGGGUCGAGAUUUCGAAAUUCUCCGGGGGUACCA